UGAACUAAAAGUUUUAAUUUAUAUUACGAGCCCAAAUACUUUUUCUAUUCAACUAGAAAACAACCCAAUAAUUGUUUAUUUGGGCCAAGAGUAUGAAGGAACCUUUUUCUAUUCAACUAGAAACAUCCCAAUAAUUGUUUAUUUGGGCCAAGAGUAUGAAGGAGCGGAUGAGAACGUCCAAGCCCAAUUCCUUAGAAAAUCAGUUAGCUUCUAAUUAGAGUUAAUUUAUCAAUUAAAUUUAUCAAUUAGAUAGAUAGAUUCAUUAAGCCAAAUUAGCUACUGGAAGAACACGUAUCCCUCAACUUUCCACGCAGCUUUUCAUAAACCGACUCCAAAUCAUAUAAAAUCUCUCCUCAGGAUUAAUUUGACCAUUUUUCCUCAUUCUGCAAGAUCUUAAAUACACCGGCAAAAUACCAUCCCAAAUCCGACUCAACCACGAUCAUUUACAAUCCCCAGCAGUUCAUAGCAGCAUCAAGCAAAGCAGGUAGUUUUCUUGUAUACAAUUCAAUCAAUUCCUUGUGUAUAAAAGGAACAAUCAAGAACAGCAGAAAAGACAUAGCUACACAUAAGCAUAGUAACGAUACAGUAUUGUUUCCUCACCAUCAAAAUCUCAGUUUUACAAUAAGCAAUAAAGGAAAAUAGGUUUAUAACAUAUAAAAAUUGGAUCUUGAGCAGUAGACGAACUGGAGAUCCCUUGAAUCAUCGAUUCCUGAAAUGGGAAAUAGUUUGAGACUUGUUAGUUUGAGGAAGUAAAAAUAUGAGAAUUAGAUGGAUAAAAGGGAAAGAAGAACAGGGACGGUAGCAGCGGCAGCCGCGAGCCACCACGGCGGGGCGCAGCUGAUGGCGACGACCGCCGGUGCUGCCCGCUCUACGGCGGCCCACGGUGGCUGGCAACAGAGAGAUAAAGACAGAGAUACAGAGACAUAGAGAUAGACGAGAGAGACAAGGGGGGAGGCAGAGCAAACGAGGAAGAAAAGAGGAGUAAGGGCGGCGCCGGCGCUGCUACGCAGCCACGGCUCACGGCGGCCGCCGCGAACAGGGCAGAGUGAGAGAGACUGAGAGGGAGGAUAUAGAGAGAAGAAGAGAGAUAAGGGACUUACUGUUGGGAAUUAUAGACGCCAAUAAUUUCGCCCAGGAUUGUUGGGAAAUUAGACACAACUAAUUCCGCCCGGGAUCAAGUGUGACUCAAUAUUUUGGAUAUCGACCGAUAUGAAACGAGAAGAAAAAUGACACCGAUAUUUUUAACGUGGUUCGGCCAAACUGCCUACGUCCACGGACCCACACCAAUAUAUUAGAGAAUCUCAAAAGGAGGAGUACAACAAAAAUACCACACUGUAUUUUGUAUCUGCCUACGCAGAGGCUAUCUCUCAACUCACUUUUAUCACUCGUGUAUAACUUCCACACUGAAGUUUUCUCUCACAAGAUUUUUCUCUCUCUCUCUAGCAAAUAACACUUCUGCUGGUGGUGUUGUUGUGGGGUUUUUGGGGUGAUUUUUGCAGGUUGCUGCCUUCUCUAUUUAUAGGCAAAAGACUGCCUCCAAAUGAAUAGUAUCUGCAGCAGUUGUUGAAAGAUUGGCCGCAAUGCUUGAAGAAAAUAGCAGCACCUUUUUGACCUUAAAGCCAUUUGCCAUAAAAGCUUGGAAAAUUGGCAUGGCUAUAAUAGUAGCCCAUGCAGUAGCCUUAUUUGACCAACAAUCUCCCACUUGAAGACUGAUUUCAAUCUGUCUUCACACCUCGAUCAACGCAGCAGUCUUUCUGUCUUAACUGUAAAGACAUAACCGGUAGUGCUUCUCCUGCGAUCUACCGCACCGGCAAAAUCUGCAUCUACAAAACCUUGUAGUGCUACAUCACCUCGUCGAAAGCACAAGCAUCUAUCAGUAGAUCCACGUAGAUAUCUCAAUAUCCACCUUACUGCUUCCCAAUGCUGCUUUCCAGGAUUUGCCAUAAUUCUGCUCACAACUCCCACUGCAUGAGCGAUAUCUGGUCUAGUACAGACCAUGGCAUACAUCAGACUUCCAACGGCUGAGGCGUAAGGAAUUUUAGCCAUGAAGUCUCUUUCCUCCUUUGUCUUUUGAGAGUGCUCUUUGCAUAGGCGGAAAUGGUUAGCUAACGCUGAGCUAACCGACUUAGCACUGCUCAUGUUGAAUCUUUGCAAGAUUCGAUCAACGUAUUUGGCCUGAGACAACUGCAAAACACCUUUUUGCUUGUCUCUGUAAAUUCUCAUCCCGAGAAUUCGCUUUGCUUCUCCUAAAUCCUCCCCUCAAACCAAGGACCACAUCAUGUCCUCCCUCGAACGACAAUCCGUACAUCUUGCACCGCCGUUACCACUCAACGGGACUCGCUGCCUGACCACACUAUCAGGAAGACUUUCGAUACAAGGAACCACCGGAUUCAAUCGUGAGUUCACUGGGGGUACACCUCCGUAUAUCUUGCACCGCCGUUACCACUCAACGGGACUCGCUGCCUGACCACACUAUCAGGAAGACUUUCGAUACAAGGAACCUGAGGUCGAGAUGACCUCCUAGGAAUAGGAGUUAGAGCUGGAACUGGAGACUGUGGUGGAUCAGCCUCAGAGUUGGGCUCCUCCGUCUGCAAACUUUCAUCUGUUUGCUUCAAUGUACUGCACUCUGCAGUAUCAUCUGGAUCAACUCAUCUCCACCAUUAUCCAAUGAAAAUACAUUUUAGUGAUUUGGAGUCGAGCUUACUCCUGGCAAUAUCACUAAUGUGUACAUACGCGACACAGCCAAAUACUUUUCAGUGAGAAAGUUUAAUUUCUUUGCCACUCAAAACUUCCUCCGGUAUUCUGUACUCCAAUGGUACAGAUGUCCCAUGGUUAACGAGAUAUGCCGUUGUGUUGACAGCUUCUGCCCAAAAUUAUGUUGGCAGUCCUGCAUGUAUCCUCAUGCUCCUAGCUCUUUCUGUCAACGUCCGGUUCAUGCGUUCUGCGACUCUAUUUUGUUGUGGGGUCCCUGGCAUUUCCAACUUGAUGCCAUUCUGGUAACAAAAUUUCUUGAACGCCAUAUCUUCGUAUUCUCCGCCAUUAUCGGAUCUCUUUAUCCGUAAGCCAGUUUCAUUCUCCACCAUGGCCUUCCACUUCUUGAACGCCUCAAACACCUCUGACUUUUGUCUCAAGAAGUAAACCCACACCUUUCUCGAGUGGUCAUCGAUGAAAGUCACAAAGGUAAGACUUUCCGCCAAUGGAUGAAACUCUUGCUGGACCCCAAACAUCUGUGUGGACUAACUCAAGCUUUACUUGCUUCAGAGUUCUACCACUUGUGUUGAAACUCACCCUCUUCUGGUAGUUUCCCUUUCGAAUGCAUAUACUUGAGCCCUUUCUGGCUCAUGUGCCCAAGUCUUUGGUGCCACAAAUUUGCAUUCUUCUUGCUAUCAGCAACUGCAAUUGUCACACACGCAUUCAUCGCUGUGUAUAGGCUGCCAGUAUCCUUGCCACGUGCAAGAAUCAUUGCGCCCCUAGUGAUUUUCCAACAAUCACCUGAGAGGUGUGUAUCACAUCCUUCUCUCGACAAUUGCUUGACGGAGAUCAAGUUAUUCCUCAACUCUGGAAUAUGUCUCACGUCCUUCUCCUUCAGCCACAACAUUGGCUUCGGUCUUUUUCUCGUUUCCCUUUGAAGGUACUUUACACUGCGUUCUGUAGUGCCCGACCUGACCACAGUUCCAACAUUCAACAGACUUUGAUUUGUUGGAAUUCUUGUGGAUUCUGGAGCUCUGCCUGCCAUUCCUUGACUUGCUCCGUCCAUGUCCUUGACUUCUGGAUUUUCCUUCAAGGGCUUAUACAGGUCCUUCUGGUACAAGUAAUCCUCCAUUUACAUUUUCCAAAAAAAAAUCCAAAAUUCACACAAUUGAAUUUAUCAAUUUUGGAAAUUUUAUCGUCUGUCGACAUUGCUCCCACUCGAUCUGGACUCCUUGGAUCAUUUCUGAUUUUUCAGCUAACCACCGUGUUUAGAACACCUUUUGUCGACAAAUCGGAACCGCCGACAAAUUCACCGUGGCUCUGAUACCAGUUGUUGGGAAUUAUAGACGCCAAUAAUUUCGCCCAGGAUUGUUGGGAAAUUAGACACAACUAAUUCCGCCCGGGAUCAAGUGUGACUCAAUAUUUUGGAUAUCGACCGAUAUGAAACGAGAAGAAAAAUGACACCGAUAUUUUUAACGUGGUUCGGCCAAACUGCCUACGUCCACGGACCCACACCAAUAUAUUAGAGAAUCUCAAAAGGAGGAGUACAACAAAAAUACCACACUGUAUUUUGUAUCUGCCUACGCAGAGGCUAUCUCUCAACUCACUUUUAUCAGUCGUGUAUAACUUCCACACUGAAGUUUUCUCUCACAAGAUUUUUCUCUCUCUCUAGCAAAAUUUUCUUUCUGCUUGGUGGUGUUGUUCUGGGGUUUUUGGGGUGAUUUUUGCAGGUUGCUGCCUUCUCUAUUUAUAGGCAAAAGACUGCCUCCAAAUGAAUAGUAUCUGCAGCAGUUGUUGAAAGAUUGGCCGCAAUGCUUGAAGAAAAUAGCAGCACCUUUUUGACCUUAAAGCCAUUUGCCAUAAAAGCUUGGAAAAUUGGCAUGGCUAUAAUAGUAGCCCAUGCAGUAGCCUUAUUUGACCAACACUUACCUGAGGCAGGGAGAACGACGGAGGAGCGGAAAUCCGACGAGCUGGGGCGACGGCGACGUUAUUCGCCGGAAUCCUCCAAAGGAGUAAAAUUGAUGGGGGAGAUUGAAAACCCUAGGUUGAAUUGAUUUUAGAAUUUGGGGAAUUAAAUGUAGGAAGGAGAGGGAAGAAAGCGGAAGGGGAGAAGAUGCGUCAGCCUCGCCGCGCCGGAAGCGGCGAGAGCCGGCGACGCUCGCCGGAGGAAGGGGGAGAGAGAGCGGCCGAGAGAGGGAGCGAAGAGAGGGAGAGAUGUCUGCGUGGGGAA
rnacentral:lncRNA from 1 species